AAUAGAAUUACCAUAUUGUUUUUCCUGGUUUGAAAGGACCAGAUGGAAAGAAACUGGGCAAGCCAAUGAAAGUCUCUGGGGAUCAUGGGAAUUGAGUGUCUAUGAAAACCAUAUUCCAGACAAGAAUAUAGUCUAAGGACACAGCAAGAGGCAACAUUUUGGAAGCAGAGGGCAACUCUCACUGGAAACCAAAUCUCCUGGCACCUUGAUCUUGGAUUUUACAGCCUCCAGAACUGU
rnacentral:lncRNA from 10 species